AUACGGAGGGUGCAAGCGUUAAUCGGAAUUACUGGGCGUAAAGAGUACGUAGGUGGUUUGUUAAGUCAGAUGUGAAAGCCCCGGGCUCAACCUGGGAACUGCAUUUGAAACUGGCAAACUAGAGUAUGGUAGAGGGGGGUAGAAUUUCUAGUGUAGCGGUGAAAUGCGUAGAUAUUAGAAGGAAUACCAGUGGCGAAGGCGACCCCCUGGACCAAUACUGACACUGAGGUACGAAAGCGUGGGUAGCGAACAGGAUUAGAAACCCUAGUAGUCC
rnacentral:rRNA from 1 species